GGCGAACGGGUGAGUAACACGUGAGUAACCUGCCCUUGACUUUGGGAUAACUUCAGGAAACUGGGGCUAAUACCGGAUAGGAGCUCCUGCUGCAUGGUGGGGGUUGGAAAGUUUCGGCGGUUGGGGAUGGACUCGCGGCUUAUCAGCUUGUUGGUGGGGUAGUGGCUUACCAAGGCUUUGACGGGUAGCCGGCCUGAGAGGGUGUCCGGCCACAUUGGGACUGAGAUACGGCCCAG
rnacentral:rRNA from 1 species